AACGAACGCUGGCGGCAGGCUUAACACAUGCAAGUCGAACGGGUGUAGCAAUACAUCAGUGGCAGACGGGUGAGUAACACGUGGGAACCUUCCUAGGGGUACGGAACAACUCAGGGAAACUUGAGCUAAUACCGUAUACGUCCGUGAGGAGAAAGAUUUAUCGCCCUUAGACGGGCCCGCGUCGGAUUAGCUAGUUGGUGGGGUAACGGCCUACCAAGGCGACGAUCCAUAGCUGGUCUGAGAGGAUGAUCAGCCACACUGGGACUGAGACACGGUCCAGACUCCUACGGGAGGCAGCAGGUGGGAAUAUUGGACAAGUA
rnacentral:rRNA from 1 species